GGCUUGGUAGUUCAGUUGGUCAGAAUACAUGCUUUGGGUGUUACAACAAACAAGUAUGUGGUCCUCGGUUCGAGUCCGAGUCAAGCCC